rnacentral:rRNA from 1 species
UACGUAGGGUGCGAGCGUUAAUCGGAAUUACUGGGCGUAAAGCGUGCGCAGGCGGUGAUGUAAGACAGAUGUGAAAUCCCCGGGCUCAACCUGGGAACUGCAUUUGUGACUGCAUCGCUGGAGUGCGGCAGAGGGGGAUGGAAUUCCGCGUGUAGCAGUGAAAUGCGUAGAUAUGCGGAGGAGCACCGAUGGCGAAGGCAAUCCCCUGGGCCUGCACUGACGCUCAUGCACGAAAGCGUGGGGAGCAAACAGG